GGUGCCAUGGCCGAGCGGCUAGGCAUCGGUCUGCAAAACCGCGUACGGCGGUUCGAAUCCGCCUGGCACCU
rnacentral:tRNA from 1 species